rnacentral:rRNA from 1 species
AGAGUUUGAUUCUGGCUCAGGACGAACGCUGGUGGCGUGCCUAACACAUGCAAGCCAAAGGAAAGUAGCAAUAUGAGUACUUGGCGCAAGGGUGCGUAAUGUAUAGGUUAUCUGCCCUUUGGUCUGGGAUAACUCAUCGAAAGAUGAGAUAAAACCAGAUGAUGAGGAAACUCCAAAGGUGACGCCAAAGGAUGAGCCUAUAUCCCAUCAGGUAGUUGGUAGGGUAAUGGCCUACCAAGCCUACGACGGGUAGCUGGUCUGAGAGGAUGAUCAGCCACACUGGAACUGAGACACGGUCCAGACAUCUACGGAUGGCAGCAGUGAGGAAUAUUGCUCAAUGGGUGAAAGCCUGAAGCAGCAACGCCGCGUGGGCGAUGAAGGUCUUCGGAUUGUAAAGCCCUUUUGCAGGGGACGAAUAUCUCGCUCGGCGAGACUGACGGUACCCUGCGAAUAAGCCACGGCUAACUCUGUGCCAGCAGCCGCGGUGAUACAGAGGUGGCGAGCGUUGUCCGGAUUUACUGGGCGUAAAG